UACGGGGGGGGCAAGCGUUGUUCGGAAUUACUGGGCGUAAAGGGCUCGUAGGUGGCCAACUAAGUCAGACGUGAAAUCCCCCGGCUUAACCUGGGAACUGCGUCUGAUACUGGGAGGCUAGAGUAUGGGAGAGGGAUGUGGAAUUCCAGGUGUAGCGGUGAAAUGCGUAGAUAUCUGGAGGAACACCGGUGGCGAAGGCGGCAUCCUGGACCAUUACUGACGCUGGUCCGCGAAAGCUAGGGGAGCAAACGGG
rnacentral:rRNA from 1 species